rnacentral:rRNA from 1 species
GCCUACGGCCAUACCAGUCUGAAAGUGCCCGAUCUCGUCAGUUCUCAGAAGUCAUGCAGACUUGGGCCUGCUUAGUACUUGUAUGGGAGACCAACUAGGAACCUCAGGUGUCGUAAGCU